GCAAGUCGAACGCAGAGAUGCAGUAAUGUGUUUCUGAGUGGCGAAUGGGUGCGUAACACGUAGGUGAUCUGCCCAGAAGUGUGGAAUAACAGUCCGAAAGGACUGCUAAUACCGCAUGUGGCGCUUGGGGUUAGAGGCCCGAGCGCGAAAGGUCUUCGGAUCGCUUCUGGAGGAGCCUGCGGCCCAUCAGGUAGUUGGUAGGGUAAUGGCCUACCAAGCCAACGACGGGUAGGGGACCUCAGAGGGUGGCCCCCCACACUGGCACUGACACACGGGCCAGACUCCUACGGGAGGCAGCAGUCGGGAAUAUUGCCCAAUGCGCGAAAGCGUGAGGCAGCAACGCCGCGUGCGCGAUGAAGGCCUUCGGGUCGUAAAGCGCUUUUCAGUGGGAUGAGGAAGGACAGUACCACUGGAAUAAGGUACGGCUAACUACGUGCCAGCAGCCGCGGUAAAACGUAGGUACCGAGCGUUAUCCGGAUUUACUGGGCGUAAAGCGUGUUCAGGCGGUCUAGCAAGUCGGGCAUGAAAUCUCUCGGCUCAACCGGGAGGGGUUGUCCGAUACUGCUGGACUGGAGGGCAGCAGAGGGUGGUGGAAUUCCGGGUGUAGUGGUGAAAUGCGUAGAUAUCCGGAGGAACACCAGUGGCGAAGGCGGCCACCUGGGCUGUACCUGACGCUAACACACGAAAGCUAGGGGAGCGAACGGGAUUAGAAACCCCGGUAGUCCUAGCCGUAAACGAUGUUGACUAGGUGUCGACGGUCUAAACCCCGCCGGUGCCGGAGCUAACGCACGAAGUCAACCGCC
rnacentral:rRNA from 1 species